rnacentral:rRNA from 1 species
UACGUAGGUGACAAGCGUUAUCCGGAAUUACUGGGCGUAAAGCGCACGUAGGCGGCUUUCUAAGUCGGGGGUGAAAUCCUGGAGCUCAACUCCAGAACUGCCUUCGAUACUGGAAAGCUCGAGUCCGGGAGAGGUGAGUGGAACUGCGAGUGUAGAGGUGAAAUUCGUAGAUAUUCGCAAGAACACCAGUGGCGAAGGCGGCUCACUGGCCCGGUACUGACGCUGAGGUGCGAAAGCGUGGGGAGCAAACAGG